ensembl:ncRNA F02G3.7 ncRNA
GGAUACCUGACUGAGCAUGAAUAAAAGAUGAGCAUUUUGUUAUUCUCAAAUUGUGACUGAGGUUAGGGGGGAAGAUGAACGAUUAAGUUUUGCUACCACCAUUGUUCAUCUCAAACAAUACACAGAACAUCUGCAGUUCAUUGUU